ensembl:misc_RNA Metazoa_SRP Metazoan signal recognition particle RNA
GCUGGGUGUGGUGGCACACACUUGUAGUCCUAGCUACAUGGAAGGCUGAGGUGGGAGGAUUGCUUGAGCCCAGGACUUGGAGACUGCAGUGAGCUGUAAUCACACCACUGCACUCUAGCCUGAGCAACAGAGCAAGACCCUGUCUCUU